GGAGAGAGACCGGCGGAUGUCUAGAGCCAAGGCGAUGCUGAAGAAGGAGCUGUCCUUUCAGCACCACGGCGCUCUCCGUUUCCUCCUCUUGCAAGCAGCAGCUGCUUCAGGUGAGAGCUGUGAUUCCUGGGAGCUGACAGCAUGCGACAGUGACCACACCCUGGGAAAUGGCUUUGACUGGCUGCCUAAACCAUGUGAGGGUAGCUGAUGGGUUCUCAAACCCUUGGACAUCUUUAGGAGAAGGAGUAAACCCUACACAAAUCCAGAGCGGAGUCCGUAAGAUGGUUGAAUAGCGUCUUGUACGAAUCCUUCCAGCAACUCCUGCAGCUAAGCUGGUGGCAAAUGCAUUGCUCUGCUUUCCUUUGGACCACAUCAGUGAGACCGAGAGGGGGUCUUGUCUUCUUGACAACCCAGGACCUCCAUACACUUUGCCCUGGCUUGCACCCCAGGGAGGUCACUUUGGGACUGCUAAAUGCAGCAAAAACAACAUGGGAGGCAGCAGUUAUGAGUUACUGGUCUUUGCAGUGACAGAAGGUACUGUAGUUCUCCAUUGUUUCACCCUGGAAGCACAUUCAGUUGUCUCUUGAGACAGAUGAAUGCCAAUUGCAGCUUCUCAACCUAUCCGCAUAGGA